GCUCGUUUGAUUCUGAUUU
rnacentral:snRNA from 1 species